rnacentral:rRNA from 1 species
AUGGCCACAGCCUAUGAUGAAGACCACUCCAUUUCAUCAUCUCAGCAUGAUGACACGGAUGACAGGAGGAGCACCAUCCCAGCAGCUAGUGCUGAUGAGAAGCCAUUCCCGUUCUUCGGGCUGCUUUGCUACGCCGAUAAGGUGGACUGGCUACUCAUGGCCCUGGGAACCGUCGGGUCUGCCAUCCAUGGCAUGGCAUUCCCGAUCGGAUAUCUCCUUCUCGGGAAAGCGCUUGAUGCCUUCGGAACCAACAUAAAUAAUCAGGAGGCCAUGGUCCAUGCAUUGUACAAGGUGGUUCCGUAUGUGUGGUACAUGGCGGCAGCUACUUUUCCUGCUGGAAUGGUUGAGAUCUCCUGCUGGAUAUACUCGAGUGAGAGGCAGUUAGCACGCAUGCGGCUGGAAUAUCUGAGAUCAGUUCUCAAUCAAGAGGUUGGGGCCUUCGACACAGAUUUGACCACUGCAAACAUCAUCACCGGGGUAACCAACCAUAUGAAUGUCAUACAAGAUGCAAUUGGUGAGAAGCUCGGUCAUUUCGUCGCAAGCUUCUCCACUUUCUUUGCUGGUAUAAUAAUUGCAUUUGCCAGCUGCUGGGAAGUCGCGAUGCUCUCCUUCCUGGUCAUUCCUCUGAUCCUCGCCAUUGGAGCCACAUAUACGAAAAAGAUGAAUGUCAUAUCAUUGUCACGCAAUGCUAUUGUCUCACAAGCAACAUCUGUCGUAGAACAGACUUUGUCACAUAUCAAGACUGUCUUCUCCUUUGUCGGAGAGAACUGGGCCAUGAAAUCCUUUGUGCAGUGCACAGACAAUCAAUACAAACUAAGCAAGAAGGAGGCGAUGAUAAAGGGAAUAGGGCUGGGCUUGUUCCAAACAGUGACCUUUUGUUCAUGGGCACUGAUGGUUUGGAUUGGGGCAGUUGCAGUAAGCAACCGGACAGCAACAGGAGGUGGCACGAUAGCUGCCAUCAUGAGCAUCCUCUUUGGCGCAAUAUCAAUUACCUACGCUGCACCAGAUCUUCAGACCUUUAAUCGAGCAAAGGCUGCAGGAAAAGAGGUCUUCAAGGUGAUCAGAAGGAAUCCAUCCAUAAGUUACGGAAAAGGUGGAGCGAUAUUAGAAAAGGUUUAUGGAGAGAUCAAACUGCAUGGGGUGCAUUUCGCCUAUCCCUCCCGCCAGGAUAAGCCAAUUCUCCAAGGAUUCUCACUGUCGAUCCCCGCAGGCAAAGUCGUUGCUCUGGUGGGAAGCAGCGGCUGCGGGAAGAGCACAGUUAUUUCACUACUUCAAAGGUUCUAUGAUCCAACCUCAGGUGACAUAUUCAUUGAUGGCCACAGUAUUAAGAAACUAGAUCUGAAAUCCCUGCGGAGGAAUAUAGCUUCAGUAUCUCAGGAGCCAUCGCUGUUUUCUGGUACUAUCAAGGACAACUUAAGGAUUGGUAAAAUGGAUGCAACUGAUGAAGAGAUAAUUGAAGCAGCAACAACAGCUAACGUGCAUUCAUUCAUAUCUAAACUUCCCAAUGAAUACUUAACAGAGGUAGGAGAAAGAGGUGUGCAGUUGUCAGGAGGCCAGAAACAAAGAGUAGCUAUUGCAAGGGCAAUGCUGAAGGAUCCACCAAUUCUCCUUCUGGAUGAAGCGACAAGUGCCCUUGAUUCAGAGUCAGAAAAGCUAGUGCAGGAUGCACUUGAGAGAGCCAUGCAUGGAAGGACAGUUAUCCUGAUAGCCCACAGGAUGUCCACAAUUGUAAAUGCUGACACCAUUGUUGUCGUAGAGAAUGGAAGUGUGGCACAGACCGGGACACAUCAAGAGUUGCUCGAGAAAAGCACAUUCUACUCAAACGUAUGCAGCGUGCAAAAUAUUGAGAAGGAAUCUGGAAAGAUGGUAGCAAGCCCUUCUGAUAAAAUAAUAGAAGAACAAACUGAUGAAGCAUACAACAGACAGCCCUCCACGAAGCAAGGACAACAGAACAAACUAGAACCACUAAACUCAAAGAAAUCAAAGCAAGAGGUCAGAAAGGAAAUACCUCCUUUCUUCAGAAUUUGGUAUGGGCUACCUAGAGACGACAUUGCAAAAAUUCUAUUAGGAUCCUCAGCAGCGGCCAUCUCUGGAAUCUCAAAGCCCUUGUUUGGUUACUUCAUCAUGACAAUUGGCGUGGCAUACUAUGAUCAAGAUGCAAAAAGAAAAGUCAGCAAAUAUUCUUUGAUUUUCUUCGGGGCUGGGAUGGUCACACUGGCCAGUAGCAUCUUGCAGCACUACAUUUAUGGUGUUAUUGGAGAAACGGCAAUGAAACACCUAAGAGAGGCCCUCUUUUCAUCUGUGCUCCGAAAUGAGCUUGGUUGGUUUGAAAAGCCAAAGAAUGGUGUAGGAUCUCUUACCUCACGCAUUGUCAGUGACACAUCAACUGUAAAGAGCAUCAUAUCUGAUAGGAUGGCAGUCAUUGUGCAAUGCAUCUCUUCAAUCCUGAUAGCAACAACGGUAAGCAUGUUCGUCAACUGGAGGAUGGGUUUAGUGUCAUGGGCAGUCAUGCCAUGCCAUUUCAUCGGCGGCCUUAUCCAAGCCAAGUCAGCCAAGGGAUUUUACGGCGACGCUGCUAUCGCUCACCAGGAGCUCGUGUCCCUUGCUUCGGAGGCUGCUAGCAACAUCCGGACCGUGGCAUCCUUUGUUUAUGAAGAUGAAAUCAUGAAGAAAGCAGAACUGUCACUGCAAGAACCCAUGAGAAUCACCAAGAUUGAGAGCAUGAAGUAUGGGAUAAUCCAAGGGAUCUCGCUCUGCCUGUGGAACAUCGCACAUGCAGUGGCACUCUGGUACACCACAGUUUUGGUCCAGAGAAAGCAAGCAUCAUUUGAGAACAGCAUACGGUCAUACCAGAUAUUCUCGCUCACGGUGCCUUCCAUCACAGAGUUAUGGACCCUGAUUCCCAUGGUCAUGUCAGCCAUAACAAUACUGAAUCCUGCAUUUGACAUACUAGACAGAGAGACGCAGAUUGUGCCAGAUGAACCAAAAGCGACAAGUGACCGCUGGCUCGUGGGGAGAAUUGAGUUUCAGGGUGUGAACUUCAACUAUCCAUCACGCCCAGAGAUCACCAUUCUGGAUGGCUUCAAUCUAGUCAUCGAGCCUGGCCAAAGGGUAGCAUUGGUUGGCCCAAGCGGUGCAGGAAAAUCCUCUGUCCUGGCUCUCAUACUGAGAUUCUACGAUCCGCACAGAGGUACAGUGCUAGUUGACAACAAAGACACAAGGGACUACAACCUCAGAUGGCUCAGGAGGCAAAUUGGAUUAGUUCAACAGGAACCAAUUCUGUUCAACACAUCCAUCAGAGAUAACAUUAGUUAUGGAAGUGAAGAAUCUUCAGAAACUGAAAUCAUCCAGGCUGCCAUGGACGCAAACAUUCACGAGUUCAUCAGCGGUUUGCCAGAAGGGUACGGCACAGUCGUUGGAGACAAAGGAGGUCAGCUUUCAGGAGGGCAGAAACAGCGCAUAGCUAUCGCAAGAACUCUACUAAAGAGGCCAGACAUUCUGCUUCUUGACGAGGCAACUAGCGCACUCGAUGGUGAGUCUGAGAGGGUGGUGAUGACUUCUUUAGGGGCCAAGGAGUGGAACAACAGAGGUGAGCGAUCAAGCAAUAUUACAAGCAUCACAGUGGCGCAUAGAUUGUCCACAGUCAUAAAUGCAGACAUGAUUGUUGUGAUGGAGAAAGGGAAGGUGGCUGAAACCGGUGACCACCAAACACUGAUAUCUGCAGAUGAUGGUGUUUACUCAAGGCUGUUUCACUUGCAAAGCAACAUGAAGGAUUGA